UCACAUCCUUGGAUCCCAGACUCUUUGAUGACAGGAAGGCCAAACUAUCUCAAAUGUCUCUGCCUUGAUAGUCUGCUGUGCAUCCCAUGAACUCAGUAUGGAGAAGUUGCCUUGUCCCCAUCAAUCCAAUGGAGUCCAUUCAUGUCUCCAAACCUCGGCUUAAUGAUUGUGGCCCUGCUGUCUGUUAUAGGAACAUUUUUC
rnacentral:lncRNA from 1 species